CCUACGGGUGGCAGCAGUGAGGAAUAUUGGUCAAUGGACGAGAGCCUGAACCAGCCAAGUAGCGUGAAGGAUGACUGCCCUAUGGGUUGUAAACUUCUUUUAUAUGGGAAUAAAAUGUUCCACGUGUGGGAUUUUGUAUGUACCAUAUGAAUAAGGAUCGGCUAACUCCGUGCCAGCAGCCGCGGUAAUACGGAGGGUCCGAGCGUUAUCCGGAUUUAUUGGGUUUAAAGGGAGCGUAGGUGGAUUGUUAAGUCAGUUGUGAAAGUUUGCGGCUCAACCGUAAAAUUGCAGUUGAAACUGGCAGUCUUGAGUACAGUAGAGGUGGGCGGAAUUCGUGGUGUAGCGGUGAAAUGCUUAGAUAUCACGAAGAACUCCGAUUGCGAAGGCAGCUCACUGGACUGCAACUGACACUGAGGCUCGAAAGUGUGGGUAUCAAACAGGAUUAGAUACCCUAGUAGUC
rnacentral:rRNA from 1 species